UACGGGAGGCAGCAGUGAGGAAUAUUGGUCAAUGGGCGAGAGCCUGAACCAGCAACGCCGCGUGAAGGAAGAAGGUCUUCGGAUUGUAAACUUCUUUUAUGAGGGACGAAGGACGUGACGGUACCUCAUGAAUAAGCCACGGCUAACUACGUGCCAGCAGCCGCGGUAAU
rnacentral:rRNA from 1 species